rnacentral:rRNA from 1 species
CCCUUAGAUGUCCUGGGCCGCACGCGCGUUACACUGAUGCAUUCAACGAGCUUAUAGCCUUGGCCGAGAGGCCUGGGCAAUCUUGUUAACGUGCAUCGUGAUAGGGACAGAUUAUUGAAAUUAUUAAUCUUGAACGAGGAAUUCCUAGUAAACGCAGAUCAUCAAUCUGCAUUGAUUACGUCCCUGCCCUUUGUACACACCGCCCGUCGCACCUACCGAUUGGAUGGUCCGGUGAAGCCUCGGGAUUGUGGUUCUUGCCGCUUUAUUGUGGCGUGACCGCGAGAACUUGUCUAAACCUUAUCAUCUAGAGGAAGGUGAAGUCGUAACA